UACGUAGGGUGCGAGCGUUGUCCGGAAUUAUUGGGCGUAAAGAGCUCGUAGGCGGUCUGUCGCGUCGGAUGUGAAAACUCGGGGCUCAACCCCGAGCCUGCAUUCGAUACGGGCAGACUAGAGUUCGGUGAGGGGAGACUGGAAUUCCUGGUGUAGCGGUGAAAUGCGCAGAUAUCAGGAAGAACACCCGUGGCGAAGGCGGCUCUCUGGGACGGUACUGACGCUGAGACGCGAAAGCGUGGGGAGCGAACAGG
rnacentral:rRNA from 1 species